rnacentral:misc_RNA from 1 species
GAAAUAAAUACAUGAUAUAGAUUUAACAAGCUUAAAAUGUUAAAAAGGAUAACAGACAAUAGCAUAGAGUUCAGUAUAUUGGCUUUGAACUCAGGCUAGUGAACUUCCCUCAUUUCAAACAAUAAUUCUAAAAAAAGUAUGACAAGAGCAUAUUUUAAACUCUAUUGAUAGUACAGGAGCAUAUCUUAAUCGAUGCUAUUCAUACUGUACGACAACAACUUCCUCAGCCACAGUCCAGCCAUCAUCGCUAGUGUUAUCGUUUGAACAGUUCUGUGAGCAAGUAUACACUAUUAAAGUCAUCCAAUUCCAGUUAUCCAAGGCAUGUUUUUCUUUCUCGCUCACGGCUUCCUGCAGAAAAUACAGCAAUGGGGGCAUCAGCUGCAUUUCAUAUUGACGUGCUGCACCACAAAGCCUGCACAUCCCUGGAUUACCAGCAUCUUCAGAAGCCAAAAGCGGCCUUCCACCAUAUGAGUAUCUGAAACACUGUUCUGGAUAUGCAUCUACUCGCUUUUUGAACUUAAGGUAAACCCUGUCAGCAUUCAAUGCCCUAUCGUACUCAUAAUCUUCCACCUCCCAUGUUUCUUCUUUAGUAUCAGGAUCACUUUCAUGGUCCUUGAUUGGAGAUGAGAUAUUUUUUGAACAGACAGAAGCAUCCUUUUUUGGAAGUUUCUCUUCCUCAGCAUAUAUAUAGAAGCAAGGAACCACUGGUAACUUUUUAUCAAUUACUCUGUCUGCACAGACAGGGGAUGAAGUUUUGGCAGUUAAUUUACGACCAUGGUUUUGUUUCUUGGAUUGCGAAGCUAGGCUUGCAGCUUCAGAGAGUGCUCUCCCCAACUCAGCAAGGUCUAUGUCAUCAUCAUCUUCAUCAUCAUCCUCUUCCAAAGAGUCAGAUGACGAUAUAUCCCUCUUGCAUUCUUCCUUUGAAUCUGAUACAGAAGAUGCAGACGAGGAGACAGCCUUAUCAGACUGGCUCUUUAAACCUUCACCAUUUACAGACUUUUGGAUUCUAAGAGCUCUCCAGCUUACAGUAGAGCUCCCACAUUCUGGCAUUAAACAGCAAAAAACAUAGAUUACACGCUCUUCAAUGUUCAAACUCUUAUGUGAGAUUGGGGCAUAAACCUGUGCAAGAAGAGACAAAUCACUUCUACAAGCACUGCAUUUGAAUAAAUCAACACUUGCUGAAGGAAGAGGAAUAGGCCAAUCAGGAAGUCCACCGAUUUUUGUUGUAUAAUGGUCAGCAGCUUCGUGCAUAUUACCUGCCCACGUUCCUGGCAUACCUAAAAAUACUCCCCCCAUCUUCGAGGCGCGACUAGCGAGCGUCGGCAGUGGGCAGUCGGCAGUCGACAGUAGGCAGUAGGCAGCGGGCUGCGGGCAGUGAGUAGCGGGCUGAGGGCUGUGGGUUGCGACGCCUGCGAGAACCGAGCAGCGGACGCCGGCUGGCUCAGAUAAAGUGCAAAUCCACCAU